AUCGGAUUCCAUCUCCAGCCCGUGCAUCCUCCUUCGUCUCUCUUACCCGAACCGACCCAGACGAAGGCGGCCCCUCUCUCAAACUCUUGCCCUAGCCGAGGUCCUUCCUCCUCAUCCCUCUCUGUCGGAUCGAGCCAGACGCACCGACCAGCGACCUCACCUACGACCCAACCUCCCGAGUCAGCCGCAUUCUUCCCUCUCCCCCUCCAGCUCUUUCUACUGGACAGAGACGCACGACCCGUCGCCCUUCUCUCGCGUGAAGCAAGCCGACCCCGCCCUCUCUAGUGUUCAGGUUUAGUCUGCUGUGCGAGUAAUUAUUGUGUCAGGACAUCAAACGCGUCCAGAGACCAAUAACAGCGUGCAACGUCACCUAUACUCGAUACCGAGCACUCGGUAUUGCUUGGUAUAUGUUCGGAUUUUCAGUUUUUUGUCCGGACGUAAUAACUUUUCCUGCUGUGUUGUCCACUUUGGACAGAAGAAAGUGUAGCUGGAGGGGCUAAUUAAAAUAAUAAUUCUUGUAACAAACACUAAAUGAUUGCACCUUUAAUUUUUAAUGAUGAUGUUGAUGUAAUGACAUACUCUCCAAAGUAUGAAAAUUAUGAUAGUUCUAGUCAUCUGAUUGAAA